rnacentral:lncRNA from 1 species
CCUGAUGUGAAAAAUGGUGGUGUAUGGGUUGAAGGCAAGCUCCUCCCAGUUCCAGAAGCCAAUGAAGCAAGGUUCGUGCAAGGAGUGAGUCCCAUUUGCAGCCUCAGAUGAGCCAGUGAGGCAGAAAAUGUAGAUAAUAAAGAGAGUUAAUGACAGGC